rnacentral:rRNA from 1 species
GACCCUGAUGCAGCGACGCCGCGUGAGGGAGAAGGCCUUCGGGUUGUAAACCUCUUUCAGCAGGGAAGAAGCGCAAGUGACGGUACCUGCAGAAGAAGCGCCGGCUAACUACGUGCCAGCAGCCGCGGUAAU